GACGAACGCUGGCGGCGUGCUUAACACAUGCAAGUCGAACGGAAAGGCCCUGCUUGCAGGGUACUCGAGUGGCGAACGGGUGAGUAACACGUGGGUGAUCUGCCCUGCACUUCGGGAUAAGCUUGGGAAACUGGGUCUAAUACCGGAUAGGAGCCAUCUUUAGUGUGGUGGUUGGAAAGUUUUUUCGGUGUAGGAUGAGCUCGCGGCCUAUCAGCUUGUUGGUGGGGUAAUGGCCUACCAAGGCGGCGACGGGUAGCCGGCCUGAGAGGGUGUACGGCCACAUUGGGACUGAGAUACGGCCCAGACUCCUACGGGAGGCAGAAGUGGGGAAUAUUGAACAAGGAGCGCAAGCCUGAUGCAGAGACGCCGCGUGGGCGAUGAAGGCCUUCGGGUUGUAAACGCCUUUCGCUAGGGACGAAGCUUUUUGUGACGGUACCUAGAUAAGAAGCACCGGCUAACUACGUG
rnacentral:rRNA from 1 species